rnacentral:rRNA from 1 species
UACGAAGGGGGCUAGCGUUGUUCGGAAUUACUGGGCGUAAAGCGUGCGCAGGCGGCCUUCCAAGUCAGGGGUGAAAGCCCAGAGCUCAACUCUGGAAUUGCCUUUGAGACUGUGAGGCUUGAGUACGGGAGAGGUGAGUGGAAUUCCCAGUGUAGAGGUGAAAUUCGUAGAUAUUGGGAAGAACACCGGUGGCGAAGGCGGCUCACUGGCCCGAUACUGACGCUGAGGCACGAAAGCGUGGGGAGCAAACAGG